GAAGAAACGGUUUAAAACUUAAUAUAUGCCAAACUAUGUGUAUAUAUACUUAAUAUACUAUUAGUAUAGCAUUGCUAUAUCAAUAACCAAGUUCUAACAAUUUCAAAGAUUUAGACAUCUCAUGCAGAAUCGAAUUUUUCAAUAGGAAAACCUGUUAAUGAUACAUGGAAUAAUUAUCCUGAUAAUUCUUUAAAUUCAAUGUCUUUACUCGACAACAUUAUGCUAUUUUAUAAUGGAACCAGUACAUUAAUUAAUGAUCUUCUUGAAAUAUUGCCAAAUCAAGGUUUGGAACUUCCCAAAGAUUCAAGGAGAAUUUUAAAAGCACCUUAUGAAAAGUGACUUAUAGACAGGAGCGUCAACUACAUCAAGUGUCAGUUGAUAUAUAUGUUUUGGUCAAAUACAUGUUUGUAUUUAUUCCUCUAAAAUUUGAAAGUAUGUGAUUCAAAAUUUCGCUUUUCCCAAAACAAAGUUAAAGAAAAUAUAUGAAGUCAAUGAUAAAUCUUAAAGUUUUACAAAGAAUAAUAAAUAGAAGUUAUUAAAUAUUGGUGGCUCAUCAUGCAGUGCAUUUGAGAAGGGCAUGCU